UUAAAUUAGAUUAUUUAUUAAAUUUUAAAUAAAGUAAUUUUAAGUUUUAUUAAUAUUAUAAGAAAUAAUUAUUAUUAUUAUAGUUAAUUAGUAUAGUUAUAGAAUUUUUAUUAUAAUUUGAAAAGAAAAAUUUAUUUUUUGUACCUUGUGUAUCAGGGUUUAUUAAUUGAAAUUUACUUAUGUAUAAUUCUCGAUUUUAAAAGAGCGAAUUAUUUAUAUAUUUUAUUGUAAAAUAAAUAUUUAUAAUAAAUAAUUAGUAAUGAAACGUUAUUCGUUUUUAAAUAUAUCUAGUUUUUAAAGAAAAAAGUUUAAUUUUACUUGUAUAAAUAUUGAAAAUUAAAUUUUAAAGUUAUUAUUUUAUACAAUUUAAAUUAAAGGGGAUAAGCUCUUUAAUUGAUUUUUAAAAGUUUAUAUAGUUAUUUUAAAAUGUAGGGUUAGAAAUUUUCUUCAAAUAGUUUGUUAUAAUUAAUUAAAUAAUUGAAAAAAUUUAUAUUAACUUUAAGUUAUUUAUUUAAAUAUUAAAUUUAAUGAUUAAAUUUAAGUUAUAAUGAUAAAAUUAGUAUAAUUUUUUGUAUAAAAUAAUUAAAGUUUAAGGUUAUAAAAAGGAAUUCGGCAAAUUAUAUUUUCCGCCUGUUUAUUAAAAACAUGUCUUUUUGAUUAUAAUUUAAAGUCUGGCCUGCCCACUGAGAGUUUGAAUGGCCGCAGUAUUUUGACUGUGCAAAGGUAGCAUAAUCAUUAGUUUCUUAAUUAGGAACUGGAAUGAAAGGUUGAACGAGAAAAUAACUGUCUCUUUAUAAAUUGUUUAGAAUUUUAUUUUUAAGUUAAAAAGCUUAAAUGUAAUUAAAAGACGAGAAGACCCUAUAGAGUUUUAUAUAAUUUUUUAUAAUAUUUUAGUUAGAAUAUUUUAAUUAUUAUAAAUAUUUAUAUUUAAUUGGGGUGAUUAAAAAAUUUUAUUAACUUUUUUUAUAUUUAAACAUUAAUUUAUGAUUUAUUGAUCCAUUAAUUAUGAUUACAAGAUUAAAUUACCUUAGGGAUAACAGCGUUAUUUCUUUUAAGAGUUCUAAUCGAUAAAGAAGUUUGCGACCUCGAUGUUGGAUUAAAAUAUAUUUUUGGUGUAGAAGCUAGAAUAAUUAGGUCUGUUCGACCUUUAAAAUUUUACAUGAUCUGAGUUUAAACCGGUGUGAGCCAGGUUGGUUUCUAUCUUUAAUAUAAAUUAAUAUUUUAGUACGAAAGGACCAAAUAUUAGUAAAAUUUAUUGAUUUUUUGAAUAUUAAUAAAAU
rnacentral:rRNA from 1 species